rnacentral:misc_RNA from 1 species
UUUGAGACUACAAAUUUGAGCCAUGGGCUUGCCACAAGUUUCCUCUGCUGAUGAAACUAAUGAAGAUCCUGCAGCAUUGUUGGGCUCGUUUUUGCAAAGUCCAUCACAAUUUGCCAGUGCGAGCACCAGUGAUUUGAAUGGAUUGCAGGAAGGAAAUAUAAGCCGAACAGUAGGGGAUACUCUGAGUUCUUCUUUGGGAGAUUUUCAGAGGAAAACUGCCUUGGAGCGUUCUAAAUUUCCAGAGAAUUCC